rnacentral:rRNA from 1 species
AAGGAUCAUUAACGAAUUUGAUUUUAUCAUUUUUCUGUGAACUUGGUCUUUGACCAUUAAUUGCUUCGGUCUUUUCUUUCGGGAAAAGGCCGGCGAUAUAAACUCUUUAUAUUAACUAGUGUCCAAAAUGAAAAUAUUUUAAUAAAUUAAAACUUUCAACAACGGAUCUCUAGGUUCUCGCAUCGAUGAAGAACGCAGCGAAAUGCGAUACGUAUUGUGAAUUGCAGAAUUUUGUGAAUCAUCGAAUCUUUGAACGCACAUUGCGCCUGGUGGUAUUCCGCCAGGCAUGCCUGUUUGAGCGUCAUUACUCUCUCACUUCCAAGUGGUUUUGCUGUUAUCUCUCUCUUUUAGAGAAAGUGCAGUGAAAAGUAAUGGCAAGGCUUAUGAUAGCUCUUGGGAAAAUGUUUUAGGUUCUACCAACUACAUGAUUACCAGCUAUCAAGUCAGCUUGAUAAUCUUUUUUCAAUGUUGACCUCAAAUCAGGUAAGACUACCCGCUGAACUUAA